GUGGGUGUAGCGCAGUUGGUUAGAGCGCCAGAUUGUGGAUCUGGAGGUCGUGGGUUCAAGUCCCAUUACCCACC
rnacentral:tRNA from 1 species